UGCCAGCAGCCGCGGUAAUACGUACUGUGCGAACGUUAUUCGGAAUCACUGGGCUUAAAGGGUGCGUAGGCGGCCGAUUAAGUAGGGUGUGAAAGGCUACGGCUCAACCGUAGUAUUGCGCUCUAAACUGAUUGGCUUGAGUAAGAUAGGGGUGUGUGGAACUUCCAGUGGAGCGGUGAAAUGCGUUGAUAUUGGAAGGAACGCCGGUGGCGAAAGCGACACACUGGGUCUUAACUGACGCUGAGAAAUGAAAGCUACGGUAGCGAACUGGAUUAGAUA
rnacentral:rRNA from 1 species